ACCAUUUCAGUAGCCUGUUCUCAGAAUGGCAGAGCAACACUGAUAACCAUGGGAAGAGAAAGGGACACAGCCUACUUGUGGUGACAGAGCUCUGCGAUAAUGGAUGGAAGAGAAGGUGGGAAAGUGAGUUUUGGAAACCAUUUCCUAUGCUCUCCAAACACCUUUGAAUCAGCUGGCCAGCCGGGAGACAAAGCGGGUGUAUAAUUGCACCAAAGGCAUUGUAUCACCAGAUGGAGAAGCACCUGGUAUGCUAGAGUGAAUUAUGUGGAUGUUGUAAGCCACCUUGAGCAUGGAAGACUGGAAAGACAGCAUACAAAUAAAUGAUGAUGAUUCAGAUCUCUACUCAGCUAUGAAGCUCACCCUGAGCCAGUUGCUAUCUGUCAGUCUAACCUACCUAGAAGGUUUGUUGCGAGAAAAAAUGGGGAGGGGGAGAACCAUGCACACUGCCUUGAUCACAUGUUGGAUGCAAACAAAAUAGAUAAAUAAAAUGAU